AAGUUUCGGCCAUUUCACUUCCGACCAGUGACUUCCUUGAGGAUAUUAAGAUGGAAUGGCAGGAAGAUUCAGAGACUAGUAAGAUUAUAAAAAAAUUGGAGGAAGCACCAAGCUCCGUGGCUCAUUACAAUUGAGACUCAAAAGAAUUACACUAUAAGGGACGCAUUGUGCUUAUGAUAAAUUCUACUUGUAUCUUCACGAGCAGAUUUUGGACAAAGUUAUUCCAUAU
rnacentral:lncRNA from 1 species